GAGGAAUAUUGGUCAAUGGACGGAAGUCUGAACCAGCCAAGUAGCGUGCAGGAUGACGGCCCUAUGGGUUGUAAACUGCUUUUGUAUGGGGAUAAAGUCAAUCACGUGUGAUUGUUUGCAGGUACCAUACGAAUAAGGACCGGCUAAUUCCGUGCCAGCAGCCGCGGUAAUACGGAAGGUCCAGGCGUUAUCCGGAUUUAUUGGGUUUAAAGGGAGCGUAGGCGGAUUGUUAAGUCAGCGGUUAAAGGGUGUGGCUCAACCAUGCAUUGCCGUUGAAACUGGCGAUCUUGAGUGCAGACAGGGAUGCCGGAAUUCGUGGUGUAGCGGUGAAAUGCUUAGAUAUCACGAAGAACUCCGAUCGCGAAGGCAGGUGUCCGGGCUGCAACUGACGCUGAGGCUCGAAAGUGUGGGUAUCAAACAGGAUUAGAUACCCUGGUAGUCCACACAGUAAACGAUGUAUACUCGCGGUUUGCGAUAGACAGUAAGCCGCCAAGCGAAAGCAUUAAGUAUACCACCUGGGGAGUACGCCGGCAACGGUG
rnacentral:rRNA from 1 species